rnacentral:piRNA from 1 species
UUAUCAAUUACACUGAACCUAAGCUUGGC